GAAGCUUCUUUUUGUGAUUAGAAUAAUUAUAAGGAGUCCGCCUGGGAUACUAUCGAUUAUAUUAAGGAUUUGAUGCUAUCGAGUUUUCUACCGUUAGAUUUAAUCAUUUGAUUAUUUUUAUCCGUUAAAUUAUAUUAUUCAAUCAACCACUCACUCAACCCUAGAGUGUCUACAUCAUCCUAACCACACAUUUUUCAAUCCAAAGGAUAAAAAAUUAAUAGCACCAAUAGCUUGGUGCUAUUGAUAGUAUUUCAGUCUAGUUCUAAUUAUGAGUAUUUACGAGCUUUUUAAGAUUCUAUUAUUGAGGAAUGAGGAUGG
rnacentral:lncRNA from 1 species